rnacentral:lncRNA from 1 species
GGCUAGGGGUCUAAUCGGAGCUGUUGCUGCCAGCCUACGCCAGAGACACAGCAAUGCGGGAUCCGAGCCGCGUCUGCAACCUACACCACAGCUCACGGCAAUGCCGGAUCGUUAACCCACUGAGCAAGGGCAGGGACCGAACCCGCAACCUCAUGGUUCCUAGUCGGAUUCGUUAACCACUGCGCCACGACGGGAACUCCAGAAUUUUUUUUUUAAUGGAUCUUUAAGAAUCUGUGGAAAACUAGAGAUGUACUGUCUUUGUCAACUUGGCUGCCAUAACCAACUACCAUAGACUGGGUGUUUAGAACAACAAAAAUUUAUUCCUCAUAGAUCUAAAAGCUGGGAAGUCCAAGAUCAAGGUACUGGUCAUUUCAAUUUCUAAUAAAAAGCUCUCUUCCUAGCUUGCAGACAGCCUCCUCUCUAUGUACUCACAUGGCCUUUCCUCUGUGCCUCUGAGCUCCAGCUGGAAAAGACUGCUCGCUCUUCCUCUUCUUAAAAGGCCACUGAUCCCAUUAUGAGGGCCCCAUCUCAUGACCUAAUUUAACCCCAAUUACUUCCCAAAGGCAUCCCAAAAAACUAUCACAUAGAGGGUUAGGAGUUAUCAAUAUUUUGGGGGUUGAACGGAGAGACAGAAACAGAAACAUUCAGUCCAUAAUGAAACUACAAAUUUAUAAAAUAAUUUAGAAGUCCCAACAACAAGGACUUACAGCAUAGCUCAGGGAACUAUAUUCAAUAUCAAGUAAUAAUCUAUAAAGAAAAUAAUCUAAAAAAGAAAUGAAUCAUUCUGUUGUACACCUAAAACCUGUAAAUCAAUUAUACUACAAAAAAAAAAAAAAAAAAAAAAAAAGUAGAAGUUCCUGUUGUGGCUCAGCAGGUUAUGAACCUGACUAGUAUUCAUGAGCAUGCAGGUUCAAUCCCUGACCUCUAUCAGUGGGUUAAGGAUCCAGCAUCACCACGAGCUGUGAAGGUCACAGACUCGGCUUAGAACCCCUGUUGCUGUGGCUGUGGUCCGGCAGCUGUAGCUUUGAUUCGACCUCUAGCCUGGGAACUUCCAUAUGCUGGAAGUGCAGCCCUAAAAAGCAAAAAAAAAAAAAAAAAAAAAAUUCAUUCUUGGAAAUCUUUCUUCACACUCUAACAUAACCCCUAGUGCAGGGUGAACCCAUAUCCUAAUAGCUCCAAUUUUCUUCCUCCCUGUGCCACUUCAGCUCUGAAGUAAAAUUAAAAAUCAUUUUCGGCUCCUAUCAUAUGAGGGAAAAUUUUCAUGAGAUGAGUGAUUUCCUCCCUCUUACCAGGUUGAUUCCCUGCUGUUCAAACAAAGACUAAAAGAUCUUUUUAGAUAUCGCUAAGCCUGCAAAUUUGCCAAAAAAAAAAAAAGUGUAGGUGGAGCUGUUUGUAGUCAUUCUUGACACUUUUCCAGGUUUUUGCUGGCUGCUUUAAUUGCAUAAGCAACUAUGCUCUUACUAGUUGUGGGUGUGUAGCUGCAGAAGCUGCAGUAAAGAAUCUGUGUCCUGAACUAAUUGUGUAAAUCAAAAUUAAUUUCCCCCAGUUUAACCAAAUGAUUUUGUCAUUGGUUCUGAAAAUAUUAGGAAGGACUUGAAAUAAUCUGCCCUUCAGAAAGUUCACAGGGAAAAAACCUGAAAAUCUGCUAACAAUCUAGUCUAUCAGCAAUGCUGUGGAGAAACAUUUGGCACAGGGAGGGCAAUAUGGCAGCACUUAUCAAAAUUAAAAAUACAUACAUGCCCUUUUGCAGACUUAAUUCCACUCUGGGAACUGUGAUGCAACAUGCUUAAAUGUACAAGAAAAAAAAUGUGUGUACAAAGAUAUUCAUCCAAGCACUGAGUAGAAUACAAAAAUUUAGAAAUUCAUGUCCCUGCAUUGGAUAAUGACUGGUUCAAGAAUCUGUAGAUGGAAAAAGGAUGCAUGUUAUGCAUUUAUGUAGAAAAGCCCAAGAUGUCUUAAGUCAAAGUGCAGAAUAGUGUAUAUGGUAUCCUCCCUUUUACAUAAAAACAGGGAAAAAUUACACAUAAAGGCAUGAAAUAAUCACAUAAAUAAGCAUAAAAAAAAAAAAACCUCUGGGAGAAUACACAAGAAAAAAAGAGAGGUUACUUUCUAGAGUGGAAACUGUCAAGAUGAAAGGCAGUGAUGAUGUUUAGAAAGUUUUUGUGCACCAGUGGGUGCAUUAUCUAUUUAAACAAUUUAAAAAAAUUAAAAAUAAUUAAAAAUUAAAAAAAAUAAUUAAAAAAUUGCCCACUGCCUUAAAACAGAGUAAGAAAAUUGUAUUGCCCAAAUGCAACCUUUACUCCUGUGUGUAAAGACAUGAGGUUGAGCGAAGUGGAAAUUCCUGGAAAUCAAAGUUCUAGGUGCCCCUGGGGAAUUCUGAGAUCAGUCACUUUGCCAAAGUUUCAUUUGCUUACUGGAGGUCUUCUCUAGAGCUCGGAAGGAGUAGACAAAGACAGAAGACAUGCUCCUGGUAUUAAUUUAAAAGUCAAAGCAGUCUGUCUGCUAAACACACACACAUUAUUCAUCUAUAAACUAAAAACACUCAGUAAGAAAUCAGUAAUUGUACUGUGGUGGAACAUUCUUUUUUCUUUAGUGUUAAGAUGCUAUUCUAAGAGUAAAUAGUUUAAAUAAACCUUGUAGGGAAAAGUACUCCUCAUAGAUACAGUGGAUUACUCUAAAUUUUGAGGAGAUAUUGCUACUUUCUAAAAGGCAUGUGUUGAAGAUCUUUUGUGGCACAGUGUGGAUCAGUGGUGUCACUGCAGUGGCUCAGGUUGCUGCUGUGGUCUGAUCCCUGGCCUGGGAACUUCCUCACGCCAUGGGUGCAGACAAACCCCUUCCCCCUCAAAUCAAAACAAGAAAACAAAAGGCAUGUGUUUAUCACCAGCAGAAGUUAUCUUUCAUUCUAUGUUAUAAUGUCCUUGGCUGGCAAAGUGAGCUUUAUCUUCUUCCUUAGAAUUCCAGGUGACUGAAAAUGCACUGUAAACAGUGAACACUAUUAUGUAACAUCCCAGUGUUUCCCAGGGUGAAGGACCUACACCACUGGUGAUACUGAAGAUGGUUCUAGGCAGCACAGGAACAAGGCAGCAAACAACCCUGAAUCACAUAUGAGUUAUUCCUAUUUCUCUUUUAAGCCUUGGCUUGAUUUAAAGCAUUUGGCUGGCAAGGAUAUCUAGCAAGGGUUUAAUAACUGGCUUUGUUUUCAUUAUACCAAUUUUCACAAUUAACACUUUUUUUCUUCUUGCUAGAGGUCUAGAAUGCACAUGUGUGUCUGUAUUAACCAUGUUUACAGAAGCACAACAAACAGAAGAGUGCAGGUACUGCUUUAUAUUCCAGGAACUCCUUGGUCACGAAUCACAAAAAUCCAACAAUCCUUUCUCGGGGCUUUCCUUGACUCGAACUCUCCCCAUGGACUUCUCUAAGUGAUACCUGGCUCUACAAGAAUGGUAUAGUGCACCAUAUAAGCUGGAGUCAAUCUGGCUUUAAAUACUGCUUUUUUACCUGAGAGUCUACAAAGUCAGUCUACUCAAUGAGGCUCAAUUGGCUAUCUUGGAAUUUGAGGGGAAUAAAUGAGAUUAACAAAUGUACAGCAGCUGUCACACAGUUCAGUAGGUGCUCAAUAAAUGCUAAUUCCCUCUACUCCUUCCUUUACUUCUUGCUUUUUCUGUCCUCAGUACUGUUUUUCUACAUUCUCUUUCAAUGAUCUCAAUCACUCCCAUGGCUUUAUUACACUUGAGUGGGUAAUUUCUAUCAUCAAUUCUAAUCUUUUUUCACAGUACCAAAAGUUAAGUUCUAAAACUGUUCAAUAAUCCCACCUUGAUGUUCUGGCAUGAUCUUAAACUCAAUACAUAUAAAAUAGAUUAUCUUUCCCCAAAUCAUUUAGUUCAUGCUACUACCUUAACUUCCAUCACUCAGGCUCAAAACUUCAAUCAUCCUAACUACUUCCACCUUUCUUCCCAUCACAAUGAAUUGAACAUCAGUAAAAACUUUAUAUAAUGUUUUAAUAGCUUACAAAGAGUUAUAAACAAAACUGUCCAUUUUAUCAAAUUCCCCAUAGCCCUAGGUGAGAAAAAUGAAAUUAAGGCAAGUUAGGAGAUAUGCUCAGGUCAUAAGCUAGAGAGCCUAGACAAAAAGACUAGUUAAAACCUGAACUUGGAGCUCCUCAUUCCAAUUGCUAUGCUCGUUCACCUUCUUACCCUGCCUCAAGUUUUGCUCUACUAAUUUGUAUCUGUCUCUCUUCUCCUUUACCAUUGCCAUGCCAGAUUUUAGGCCUAUAUUAUCUCUUAUAUGUAACACAUAUAUAGAAAGAUUGGCUCAGUCAGCAAGGUAAUAGAUGGUAGUGGGUAUCCAGCAUUGGAUUUCUUUCUUUCUUUCUUUCUUUCAAUGGCUGAACCAAAGGCAUAUGGAAGUUCCUGGGUUGGGGACUGAAUCUGACCUAUGCCACAGCU